GGGGCGAGGGGCGGCUGGCCCGGCGGGGGCGAGGGGGCGGCAAGCGGAGCGCCGGGCGCGGCCCCGGGCAGGGAGGCGCCGCUGUCCUCAGCACCUUCCGCGGGAUCCGCCGUUGCCGCCCGGGGCCGGAGGGAGGGCGGCGGCUGCGGACCGGCAGCGGGCGCCCGGAGGCGGAUCUCCAGCCCAGCCCGGGCCGGGCGCUGAGCCUGGGCGAGGCCGGAGAGCGCGGCUGCUGUGAGCCGGGCCGGAGGAGCCUCCCCGGAGGCCAGCGCCUGCUUUCUUUGCCCGCAUAAGCAAACCUCUGCUUCCCCUCGGGGGCUGCCAGCUCCCUGGCUCCGGUUGUCGGCCAGCAGGCAGGCGGGGCUGACCUUCCAAAGGCAGAAGGCCGGGCGCUGCUUUGGAGGAGGGCGCCGGGGACCUCGAAGUAGGGCUGCCGAAGGAGGUGCUUUGGAGACUAGGUCGACCCCCUCUUCUCUGUGACAGCCCCUCAAGUACUGGAAGACUGCCAUCAUAUCACCCAUUCAGAAUAACAGAGUUGGAAGGGACCUGGUAGGUCAUCUAGUCCAACCCCUGCUCAAGCAGGAGACUCUAGAUCAUUUCUAACAAGUGGCUGUCCAGUCUCUUCUUCAAAGCCUCCAGAGAUGAAGCACCCACAACUUCUGAAGGCAACUUCUGUUCCAUCGGUUGAUUGCUCUCACUGUCAGAAAAUGUCUCCAAGGUUGAAUCUCUCCUCCUUCAGUUUCCAUCCUUUAUUCCUUGUCUGGCUUCGGGUGCCUUGGAAAAUAGGUUUCCCCCCCCCCGUGGCAGCCCCUCAAAUAUUGGAACAUUGCCAUCAUGUCGUGGGAAUGCUAUUUGAUAUAUUUUUUCUUAUUGAUAAGCUUUAAGUAAAAUUACAGCAUAAAACAUUGUUUUAAAUGUGCUAUGGAUAAUGGAUAUAGCAAGAUAUAUGUCAAUCUAUUGUAUCUAAUAAACUAUAAUGAAAAGGUAUUUGGGUGUAAAUAUAUAGAACUGUGUCCAAAUAUGUAUUCCAUAAUGAAUAGAAAUUCCUCAAAUAUCCCUUUAUUAAUUUUUAGAAUUUAUUUGGCACCAGCAUUUAUAGCCUAUUGUCUUGAAUAGUUAAACUGCAACAAGAGCUGUAGUAAAUUCAAAACUUUCUACAUGCUAAAUUCUUCAUUGCUGGCACAAUCUUUUCUUUUUCUCUGGAGGCAGAGACUCAACCUCUAGAGAAGAAUUCUAAGACAAUGAAAAUCCUUCUGUGUUUAGGCUAGAGCCGCUAGACAUACCCAGUGCCUUCAACCAUUCACUGUAUGUUUUAGCCUCCAGAUCCUCCAUCAUCUUGGUUUUCUGCUCGCUCUCUCUAGGAUCUUUUUUCUGUCCUCGUGAUUAGAAUUCCAAGCGUGACCUCACCAGUGCAGGAACAAAGGGGUACUGUCACUUCACAUGAACUUGAGGCUGUCCCUCUGUUGAUGCAGCCCAGGACUGGGUUGGCUUUUUUGGCUGCUGCAGCACACUGCUGGCUGAUACUUAAGUGGUGGUGUGCUCGGACUCUCGCAGUUGCUGUUGAGCCCGGCAGUGCCUAUUCAGGGCCUGGUUUUUUGCUUGCUUGCUUGCUUGCUUGUUUUUUGCCCAAGUGGCAGGACCUGGCUUCUCUCACUACUGAGCUGCAUCUUGUUGGUUAGGGCCAAUGCUCAAGUCUGUCAAGAUCCUUGUGAAUCUUGAGCCCAUCUUUCACAGGGAUAGCAAACCCCAAUUCUAAUCCUGGGAUGUAAACCAUCCGAUCUUGGUGAUUGGAACUCAUCUAAAGUGCACAGGUAUUUUGCCUAUUUUGGCCUGCUUUCCUGUUUUGUCUCCAACAAUUUUGGUAGGUUGGGCUAUUUUUUUCCUUUUGUGUAAAAACAGGUUCAAAGAAGAAAUUAAGCAGUUCUGCUUUCUCCCUGCUGCUUGUCACCUUCUUGCCAUCUUCCUCCAGUAGCAAACCAUUUCCUUGAUUUUCUUCUUAUUCCUUACAUGUGGAAAAACUUCGUUAUUUUAGGCAUUUGUUGCAAGUUUCAGCUCAUUGUGUGUUUUAGCUUUCCUGAAACCCUCUUUGUAGAUUUGGGCUAUCUGCUGAUAUUUUGUUCUACUUAUGGACACCUCAUUCUAGUUUUUACACUUGUCCUUUUUAUCCCUCAUUUUGUCAGAGCACUCUUUAUGCAACCAUUCUGAUCUUAUUUAUUACUUAUUAAUCAAAUUUCUAUAUCGCCCUACUCCCGGAGGACUCAGGGCGAACAGCCAAGAUAAAAUACAGAUAAUACAAGUAUUAAAAAUCCCUUAAAAUUAUUAAAUAUUUUGGCCGAAACACAGAUUAAAACACCCAAUUUAUAAAAUCAAACGAAUUAAAAAUUUAAAAGAGGAGAGCAGGCCAGCCUGCUGAAAUAAAAAAGUUUUGAGAGCACGACGAAACGUGCGCAGGACAUCUUGUCUGAUGUCCUUUUUUUGGGCCUGCAUUUCUCAUUUUUCAGUUUCUCAAGCAUCUUGGAAUUGUUUUACCCUUUAGGAUUUCUGUCGACGGAAUCCUUCCUAUUCCCCCCUUAAGUUUGUUGAAGUCAGUCAGCUCUCUUAAUGUCUAAAGUCUGACAUUGUUACCUGUGCCUGUAUUAUGGUGAAUUCUAGUAUGACAUGGUCACUCUCCCCCAAAGUUCUUGUGACUUCCACCUCUUCUAUCAUUUCAUCUCUGUUAGUAAGAAUUAAGUUGAGUGUAGCUGACUCCCUGGUUCCUCUCUCUACCUUUUGGGUAACAAGAGUUGUCAGCCAGGCAGGUGAGGAGCCUGUUUGGUCUCCCACUUGCUGCAGAGUUUGUUUCCCAGCUGAUGUCAGGACAAAGUCCCCCAUUGCUGGAGUGGCAUGUUUCUUGCAGCACCUCAUUUAACCGUAUAGCAAAAGGUCCAUCUAUUUCCUCUGCCUAGUUGGGUGGCUUGUGCUAUAUACAUUACUCACCCUGAUGCAUUCAAGGCUUCAGGUCGCCCCCCCCCUCCAGGUUUGGGAAAGCAAGUUCUGUCCCUGUUCGCACUGGGGCAAGGACACAGGAAUGGCACUCAUUCCUGCAGGCAAUGAGGGUACCUGUUCUGUGCCACUCUAGCUGCCGCUAUACACAAUGGACAGCCAGCCCACCCACCCAUCACCCAGGGUCUCGAGAGGCCUAUUGCACAAGGCCAGGGGGCUCCCCUGGGGCCACAUGCCAAUAAAGGAGCACCGUUGGUGAAGGGGAGGUAGGCUGCCUACAGCAACUACUAUGGAGCAAACAAUGAAACUUUUGAAAAUGCCCACCUAGGGCUUAAAAUGGGCAUCUUGGCAGGAGAGAAGAAAUGCGUGCAACAGAGAAAGGCAGGAGUUUAGUUGCUGAGGAGAUAUUGCAAAUUAUAAAACAAUAAAAUAGCAAUUUAUGCUCCAAAUGAAAACCAAAGUGACUUUUAUGGAAGACUACACAAUAAAGUAACUGAAAUGGAUUAUGACAACAUAUGCAUGAUGGGAGAUUUUAAUGGAAUUGUGAAGGAAAAUUGGGACUACAAAAUGAAUAAAGCAACAAAGCACAGUAGGAAAAUAUUGCCAAAGUCCUUUUUUAAGAUGAUGGAGGAAAUGAAUAUGAAAGAUAUAUGGAGAGAAAGAAAUAAAGGAAAGAAACAAUAUACAUUUUAUUCAGACAGACAUUUAUCGUGGUCUAGGUUAGACACGAUAUGGUCAACAAUGGAAUUGUUGUUUGUGGGAAUGCAGUGGCCAUAGUACAUGUAUAGACCAGUUUAACUGGUUGGACACUUGUAUGGAGCUUAGCAAUGAAAUAAUCAAACUAUGAAAAGUGGGUUCAUAUGGAUACUCUCUGAAGGGCCCUAUUCAUUCUCUCUUUGUUUAUAACAUAGGAUGUGCCUGCAAAAGUAAAGAUAUCUCCUUGUAUAAACAUUCUUGAGAAACAAAGCAGACACAUCUCUUAUCUCUUUGUAAACACAUUCCUGAGAAUCAGAUAACAGAGAUGGGCCUCUCGCCUGGUAGUAUCUGGUACCAAGCAGCCAGAGUUAGGUUUUGCUUUUUAUCUUUACCAUUGUUUUCCUAUCUCUCGUAUGUAAUAUGAGAUGUGUGGCCAUAAUAACGCCUUCUGAUGACGCUGUAUUUUGGUAACUAAUAAAAGAGAUUGUAGCUCUUUGUUUGCUGCUCUCUCAUCCCGAGAAAA